CUUGCUCUUAUGAAGUUAGCGGCCGAUUGGUGAGUAACACGUGGGUAACCUGCCCAUAAGACUGGGCAUAACUCCGGGAAACCGGGGCUAAUACCGGAUAACAUUUUGAACCGCAUGGUUCGAAAUUGAAAGGCGGCUUCGGCUGUCACUUAUGGAUGGACCCGCGUCGCAUUAGCUAGUUGGUGAGGUAACGGCUCACCAAGGCAACGAUGCGUAGCCGACCUGAGAGGGUGAUCGGCCACACUGGGACUGAGACACGGCCCAGACUCCUACGGGAGGCAGCAGUAGGGAAUCUUCCGCAAUGGACGAAAGUCUGACGGAGCAACGCCGCGUGAGUGAUGAAGGCUUUCGGGUCGUAAAACUCUGUUGUUAGGGAAGAACAAGUGCUAGUUGAAUAAGCUGGCACCUUGACGGUACCUAACCAGAAAGCCACGGCUAACUACGUGCCAGCAGCCGCGGUAAUACGUAGGUGGCAAGCGUUAUCCGGAAUUAUUGGGCGUAAAGCGCGCGCAGGUGGUUUCUUAAAGUCUGAUGUGAAAGCCCACGGCUCAACCGUGGAAGGGUCAUUGGAAAACUGGGAGACUUGAGUGCAGAAGAGGAAAAGUGGAAUUUCCAUGUGUAGCGGUGAAAUGCGUAGAGAUAUGGGAGGAACACCAGUGGCGAAGGCGACUUUCUGGGUCUGUAACUGAACACUGGAGGGCGCGAAAGCGGUGGGGGAGCAAAACAGGGAAUUAAGAAUAACCCUGGUAAGUUCCACGCCGGUUAAA
rnacentral:rRNA from 1 species